rnacentral:snRNA from 1 species
AAAAAAAAGGCUUCUGUCGAGAGUGGCACGUACAGGGCAACUCGAUUGCUCUGCGUGCGGAAUCGACAUCAAGAAAUUUCGGAAGCAUAAUUUUUUGGUAUUU